UACGGAGGGAGCUAGCGUUGUUCGGAAUUACUGGGCGUAAAGCGCACGUAGGCGGCUAUUCAAGUCAGGGGUGAAAUCCCGGGGCUCGACCCCGGAACUGCCUCUGAAACUAGGUAGCUAGAAUCUUGGAGAGGUCAGUGGAAUUCCGAGUGUAGAGGUGAAAUUCGUAGAUAUUCGGAAGAACACCAGUGGCAAAGGCGACUGACUGGACAAGUAUUGACGCUGAGGUGCGAAAGCGUGGGGAGCAAACAGG
rnacentral:rRNA from 1 species